ACCUGCCUUGGCCUUCCAAAGUGCUGGGAUUACAGGCGUGAGCCACCGUGCCUAGCCAUAUACUUUAAAAAAUAAUAAUAAGAAGAAAAAACACCUUCACCCGUGUGGUCAUUGCCAUCGCAGCCACCCGAGAGGAGCUGGGGGAGGACCGUGGCCCAAAAGGCUAGGGGCAGACACCACAGCGGCAGUGGGAGCAGCAGAGGUGAAAGCUCCAGCACUCUCUCUCUUCCCACUCAGCCUGAGCCAGGGGAGGCCAGGCAGCCUGAAUGUCUGGAGGGGGAUCUGCAGCUGGAGAAUGAGAAUUCUCUUCACCAGAAUUUGGAAACUGUUCAGUCACCAGGAGCACAGAGUUAGCAUUGCUGGGUGGGAUAAUGCAGGGAAAACUACCAUCCUUUGCCAGUUUUCCAUGAAUGAAGUUGUACCUAUAUUUCCUACAACAGGAAGUAAUUAAUGUAGAAGAGAUAGUGAUUAAUAAUACACAUUUCCUAAUGUGGGAUACUGGUAGCAAGCAUCUCUUCCUUCUUCCUGGAACACUUAUUAUACUAACACAGAGUUUGUAAUAGUCGUUGUGAACAGUAGAGACAGAGAGAGGAUUUCUGUAACUAGGGAAGAACUUAUAAAAUGUUAGCACAUGAGGACCUAAGAAAAGCUGGAUUGUUGAUUUUUGCUAAUAACCAAGGUGUUAAAGAAUGCAUGACAGUAGCAGAAAUGUCCCAGUUUUUGAAGCUAACUUCUAUUAAAGAUCAUCAGUGGCAUAUCCGGGCAUUCUGUGCUCUAACUGGAGAGGGAUUGUGCCAAGCACUUGAAUGGAUGAUGUCAUAACUUAAGACUAGAUUAUCUCUACUGACCUCUCAUAGACUCUGUAUAAAUGAAGUGCUGGACUUGACCUGUCAGCUGCAAAAAUGAAUGGUUUCAAUGUAUUUAUAAUAAACUGAUUUAAACUUUUUCUGUAAGAAGAAAAAUUAAGACCACUUAUUUGAAAACAAAGAUGAAGUCUCACCUUCCAAUUUGCUUUCUCAUUAGUUUUUUCCAAAGUAAGUUAUUAAAGCUGUGAUUGACAUUUUUCUCAUAAUGAAUCCUCUCAGGACAUUGUGUAGCCUGUGGUAAGUACAAAGGGAGAGGAAGAUAUUUUGAAUUUUAAGAGCUUUGUUAUCAGUGUAACCCUCCCUAGUUGAAUGUUGUUUUCUUCUUGUUCCAUUAAGUCAAAAUACAAAUCAGCACAGAUAUUUAGUUUCCAGUAUUUUCAAAUGUAAUGUUACUUCUGAAAAGUAUUUUGCUUAACGUUGUGUGUGUAUUGUGUAUAUAUCUCCAGUUCAAGUUAAUGGCUUUCAUGUAUGUUCUAAAGAAAGAAAAGUAACACAAAUAUUAAUAAUAUCCUUAGUUAUAACCAUAAUAAGUAUUGGCAUUGGUGUUAAGUGCCAUUUUAUACUUUCUCCCUAUGUUCUCUCUAUUGUACUAACCAACCUCCCAAAUCAUUGAGCUGCUUGUUAAAAAAGAAAAAAAGGGAAAAGGAAAAAGCAUGGCAUUGUGUAUCGGUUUUUUUGUUGUUGAGCAGUCACGCACAUGGAAACAUGUAAUUCAACAGAGUGGGAUAGCGCUUAGAUUCUUGGCUUGGUAUUAUUAACAGGCGGGAUUGUACAAUGAGCAACUAUCAGAUUAUUCCUUUCAGUGGUUCCUAUGCCAUCUAAAUUACUGAAUAAAUUAUUAAUCCAUUAAUCAGCGAAUCAUACUAUGAUUAAAAUUAUCAAAGGAAUUCUCAGCAUUAAUUGAAAAGUAUAUGUGAAACAUGUCUACCCAGAAAAGUAACAUUCUAUAAGUACAAUUAAACAACUUACCUAUGUUAUUUUUAAAUAUUAAAUUAUAUGUCAAGCAGUUAAAGUGAAUUUUAGAAUAAAAGUAAGGUAUGUUUCUGAGCAACUUUGAUAAUUUCUUAAUUUGCAAAUUUCUUCUUAUUUUGAUACUUAAAAUAUAGUAUGAUAUUUUUUAUUUCUAAAUUUUGUUGUAUCUUCUGUUACAUAAAUGCACUGUUUGACAAAAAUGCAAGCGUUUUCUGAAUGAUUAAAAAAAGAAAAAAGAAAAAAAAUGGAUUAUUCUCCAGAGGUUGAGAACUAGGACUUCAGGUGUUGUUUUCUUUUUCUUGGUGAGUGAGGAUGUUUAAGUAAACUUGAGAGGAGGAAGUAAAAAUCUAGGUAGUUAGGUGCAUGGCUGUGUACUGUAGUAUUUUUGUUGUUUUCUGAUAAAUGAAUCAUAAUUUACAGAAAUAUAUGACCUUUAAGAUUCACAAUAGAAUGAGAGAAAAAUACAUGUAAUUAUAAUUUAUUAUAUACUGUUAUUUAAUUUUCUGUUUAACUGUACAUCUUUAAAAUGCUUUCUUUUCAAGCAAUAUAUGAUCACAGCUUUAAAAAUAUCAAGUGUUGAAUUCUAGCAACAAAAAAAAAUCAGCCUCCUGUUUCACCUUUCUGUGUCCCUGGACCCACUUUCAAAGGCAGAAAUCUCUGGGAAAAUUAUACUGAUAUUUUUAGUGCCAUAUUUCUAUUAUAAAUACCUUGCUUACAUUGCUGUUUUUUAAUUGAUCGACUUGGGACAUUUUUCUGUUGCUUCCUGGUACUUGUAGACAGGAUGCAACUCUUCUAUCUCACUGUCACCACCACUUCCCUUAGCUUCCCAAUAUAACUAUACUGGUUAAAUCAAAUAAUGUGCACAUCAGUACUAUGUAAAUAUUGUUCAUGGUUGAGGUCAGUAGUACACUGUGACUGUUUUCUUUUUUGAUGCUGUCUUUGUUUGUCCUAGACGUAAUUGCCUUUUUUAUUUGCAUAGUUUUUAUGCAUUUAGGAAACAAUAAUGCUUUAAAAAGUUAUGCCAAACAAUUUUAAAUUUUUUCAAAAUCUCAACACAGCAAAAUUCCAUUCUAAUUCCAUUUUUUUUUUCCUGAAGACAAUUCUCUCUUCUAACAUGGCCUGGUUGUUCUUAGCCCUGUGCUCUGUGCUGUGUGUGUGUGUGUGUGUGUGUGUGUGUGUGUGUGUGUUUAGUCUUAGGAUCAGAACUAUAUAGUUUGAUUCUAUAACCCUUCUUCAUAUUCUUCAGUUAGAUUCCCAAUUUUAUUGGAUCUCAUGUUAUCUUUCCUUUUUGUUUAAAGAGCAUAUCCUGUAAUAGUUUUCUCAGAAAUAUUGUAUGGGAGGUAAAUUUUUGUAUCUGUUUUACCUGUAUACUUACCUGAGAGGUUGCAUUUUUGAAUUACAGGUUGAGAAUUUUUUUUUUUUAAGUAUUUUGAAGGUGUUUCUGGUGGGAAACAUAAA